AAAUGCUGGUCGUUUAUCUUUAUGGCAACAGCGGCAACAACGUUGCCUUGCCAGACAGCUUGGCUCGAAUCUAGAGUCGGAGUACCACCAUUCGCAGUCCCAGUCCCAGUCCCAUAGCAACCCAUGUCCCAUAUCCCAGUCCAAGUUCUCUGGACGUCCCUCGCCGAACUGUCAACUGUCAGUCAGUCAGUUGAGUUCAGAUGGGCUGGCCUCUCCGUUCCGUAGGACAUCAAUAUGUGACCAGGGUCCCUUCUUCCCUUGACUGAGCUGUGUGUUUGCAGCAUGUUGCUCCGCCUGCUGAUAACUGAUAUUUGACAACUUUUGAUCCACUGACAGUGACGGCGGCCCGAUGUCUGGUGCUGGACAUUUAAGAAAUUCGACAGCUGCUUGGGAGUGAAAAACAGAAGAAAACGAAGCAAAAACAUUGGCAUGUCCCUCGUCUAUGCAAAAGAGUUUGCAUUUUUUCGUGUUUCGACUGACAGGAAACGUUUAGCCGAUAAUACGAAUGGGUAGCUGUCGUUUGACUGUAGGCACCGCCAUAUCCUUCCUUCCAGUUGUAGUGAUAUUCUCACAUCUUUGAGCGAUUUCCCUUAUGCGAUCUCGACUCCACCCGGAUGGCUUCGCGCUCGCUCUCACCGAAGGAAGCCACAAAAAAUACAAACAUGAAAACGAGCCGAGGAGGAAUCGCCUUCCGGUAAUGGUUAUGACCAGGGAGCCAUCGUAAUCUCCGUCGCUGACAAGCUGCCAGUAGCUCAGAAUCAGAAUCGGUAUCCGAAGCUGCAACUUCAGGAGGCCACAUGGAGCAGAGCUACCUACAUAUCUGCUGAUGGUGAUGGAAAGCGGAAGAGGGGGCUUUCCCGGGUCCGAAAGGGUAGGGAAUAGGAAUAGGGAGCAGCGCCGUAACAUCGACUACGGCGCAGAUAAAAGCCUUUCCAUGUCGCUUCAAAUUUAAGUUUUCAAUUAAAAAAGACAUAAAAUGUACAAGUAUGAGUGGCUGUCUAGCGCAUCUGUGUGCAGCAGUAUCUGUGAGUGA